rnacentral:rRNA from 1 species
GGAAUCUUCCACAAUGGGCGGAAGCCUGAUGGAGCAACGCCGCGUGUGUGAUGAAGGGUUUCGGCUCGUAAACACUGUUGUAAGAGAAGAAUGACAUUGAGAGUAACUGUUCAAUGUGUGACGGUAUCUUACCAGAAAGGAACGGCUAAAUACGUGUCAG